UUGAAUGGAUAUUUGUACAGCCAUGUUCAUCGCCGCAUUAUUCACAAUAGCCAAAAAGUGGAAGCAACCCAAAUGUCCAUUGACAGAUGAAUGGAUAAACAA